rnacentral:rRNA from 1 species
CAGCCCCCCGAGUGGUGGGGAUGAUUAUUUGGCCUAAAGCAUCCGUAGCCGGCGCUGUAAGUUUUCGGUUAAAUCUGUACGCUCAACGUACAGGCUGCCGGGAAUACUGCAGCGCUAGGGAGUGGGAGAGGUAGACGGUACUCGGUAGGAAGGGGUAAAAUCCUUUGAUCUAUUGAUGACCACCUGUGGCGAAGGCGGUCUACCAGAACACGUCCGACGGUGAGGGAUGAAAGCUGGGGGAGCAAACCAGAUUAGAGACCCGUGUAGUCC